rnacentral:tRNA from 1 species
GCGCCGAUAGUCUAGUCUGGUAGGAUAGAAGCUUGCCAUGCUUCAGGCCCGGGUUCGAAUCCCGGUCGGCGCA